GGUCACGUGUCAUGGAAUGACAAAAGCUGCUGCUGCACGAGGCGCUGGCGAAGCACGAGGCCUUCUUCAUUCGCUGCGGAAUCUUCCUCAUCCUGGAGAAGCUGAAGAUCAUCACCUACAGGAACCUCUUUAAGAAAGUGUAAGCGUUUCCCGGCACAUUGGGCUCCCAGCGUGGCUCUCGGCAGAGCAGUCAGACAUCCAGGGCUGUUGCAGGCUAAGAGAGAAGGCCACCAUGUGGGGUUGUUAUCUUCCUUCCAUUGUGUGGGAUAAAAUGAAGCCUCCGCCCACUGCCUCCUGGGGACCCUGCGCGGAGACACGUGAGUAGCACAAGCUGUGCCUGGACUUGUGGGGGAGGUAAGCAGGUUCUAUGUGAGAAGACAACUUGAGAACAUCAGCCCUGAGAGCCGCGGUACCACAUUUCAUCAGAGCACACAGGACUCGCCACUCACUCCCCUCCCUUAGUGCUGACCAAGUAGCCCUCCCAGCCACUCCUGCCUGUCACAAAGGCAGAUGCAGAGAUCGUCAUUCCUUUCCUCACACAUCUUCUGAGGCCUCGUCCCAGCAGGAUCUCAGUUCAGUAAACUUCAGGCAAAGGCCAACUUUGUAUAGAGCUGUGGGUAGCACGUCACAAACAGUAGGGACCCUAUUUCGUGGAGUCUGUGAGAUACAGCCCAUUGUCAGGUGCU
rnacentral:lncRNA from 1 species